rnacentral:rRNA from 1 species
CAGUCGCCACGGUAAUACGAAGGGUGCAAGCGUUACUCGGAAUUACUGGGCGUAAAGCGUGCGUAGGUGGUGGUUUAAGUCCGUUGUGAAAGCCCUGGGCUCAACCUGGGAAUUGCAGUGGAUACUGGGUCACUAGAGUGUGGUAGAGGAUAGUGGAAUUUCCGGUGUAGCAGUGAGAUGCGUAGAGAUCGGAAGGAACAUCUGUGGCGAAGGCGACUAUCUGGGCCAACACUGACACUGAGGCACGAAAGCGUGGGGAGCAAACAGGAUUAGAUACCCGAGUAGUCCCUGUCUCUUAUAC